UCAUCAAAUCUGUGAUCCACUCCCAGAAUUUUACUCUGAGGCAUUAGAUAGGGAUUGGCACACUGGUCAGUUUCAGUGUCAUGAUAACCUCUUAUGCAAUUCUCCUGCUGGGCAGCGCGUUACAGAGUAUAGUGGUUUGCUGCUUAUCUAGGCCAAAUUUUGAAUUCUGGUAAACAAGAUGUGCGCGCUUACUCCGUGCCGAUUUGAAUGAGAAGACUUUGCACCAUAUACACCACAAUAAUAACCUCGGGAUUUAUUAACUUUGAAUGCAUGGUGUUGGUUGCAUCAUCCGUAUUUUCAAAUUCCCACAUUCAAAAGACCCGCCUUUGGUGAAGGCAAAGGUAUUGUGCUAUUCUCUCCGAGGGGCAGUAUCUUAUCAGCCUUUUCAGUGUAUGUGAUUCUAACUAAGUCUUAUAGAUCCGCCGCUCUGUUCUACCUAUACCAUGUUUACAGUGAACAUAGGAUUUCUGUGAUUCUGUUCUUUUAAAAUUCAGUGAAUGGAUUAGACGCCGUUUUCAACCUUUAAAAACC